rnacentral:rRNA from 2 species
CUGAAGAUUGAAGCUUGCUUCAUGAUUCAGAUUUUGGUGAGUGGCGGACGGGUGAGUAACACGUGGGUAACCUGCCCAAAAGUGGGGGAUAACAUUUGGAAACAAGUGCUAAUACCGCAUAACAACUACUUUCACAUGAUCGUAGCUUGAAAGAUGGCUCUGCUAUCGCUUUUGGAUGGACCCGCGGCGUAUUAGCUAGUUGGUGAGGUAAUAGCUCACCAAGGCAAUGAUACGUAGCCGACCUGAGAGGGUAAUCGGCCACAUUGGGACUGAGACACGGCCCAAACUCCUACGGGAGGCAGCAGUAGGGAAUCUUCCACAAUGGGCGAAAGCCUGAUGGAGCAAUGCCGCGUGAGUGAAGAAGGUUUUCGGAUCGUAAAACUCUGUUGUUGAAGAAGAACAUGCGUGAGAGUAACUGUUCGCGUACUGACGGUAUUCAACCAGAAAGCCACGGCUAACUACGUGCCAGCAGCCGCGGUAAUACGUAGGUGGCAAGCGUUGUCCGGAUUUAUUGGGCGUAAAGAGAAUGUAGGCGGUUUAUUAAGUUUGAAGUGAAAGCCCUCGGCUCAACCGAGGAAGUGCUUCGAAAACUGGUAAACUUGAGUGCAGAACAGGAAAGUGGAACUCCAUGUGUAGCGGUGGAAUGCGUAGAUAUAUGGAA